rnacentral:rRNA from 1 species
AUAUUGGACAAUGGGCGCAAGCCUGAUCCAGCCAUGCCGCGUGAGUGAUGAAGGCCUUAGGGUUGUAAAGCUCUUUCACCGAUGAAGAUAAUGACGGUAGUCGGAGAAGAAGCCCCGGCUAACUUCGUGCCAGCUGCCGCGGUAAUACGAAGGGGGCUAGCGCUGGUCGGACUUACUGGGCGUAAAGCGCUCGUAGGGGGAUUGGUCAGUUAGAGGUGAAAACCCGAGGCUCAACUUCGGAACUGCCCUUAAUACUGCCAGUCUCGAGUCCGGAAGAGGUAAGUGGAACUCCUAGUGUAGAGGUGGAAUUCGUAGAUAUUAGGAAGAACACCAGUGGCGAAGGCGGCUUACUGGUCCGGAACUGACGCUGAGGUGCGAAAGCGUGGGGAGCAAACAG